CUGGAGGAAGCAGCUUCUAGGAACUGCCUUUAUAAUGAGUACCGUAUGGAGCCACAGAUACUGUUUCCUUAGUAAAUAUCAAAUACUGCAGUUCAUGUUGGAGCUACUACCUCAGAUUUCAUCUCGUACAGACAAGCUGUGUCACCUUGGGCAGAUGCAGUUCCUGUGAACUCCUGAAUGGGAUCCUGUGAUGUCACAAGAGAUCUUUCUUUCAGAUCAGAAGACUCCAACUCUGUAAGCCAGAAGGAACAAAGAAGCUAAAAAUUCAUAGCCCAUGUGUCCAGGAGGAAGCCAUCUUGGCAGGAAUGACAUC
rnacentral:lncRNA from 1 species